rnacentral:rRNA from 1 species
AUUGAACGCUGGCGGCAUGCCUUACACAUGCAAGUCGAACGGUAACGGGCCUUCGGGUGCCGACGAGUGGCGAACGGGUGAGUAAUACAUCGGAACGUGCCCGAUCGUGGGGGAUAACGAGGCGAAAGCUUUGCUAAUACCGCAUACGAUCUACGGAUGAAAGCAGGGGACCGCAAGGCCUUGCGCGGACGGAGCGGCCGAUGGCAGAUUAGGUAGUUGGUGGGAUAAAAGCUUACCAAGCCGACGAUCUGUAGCUGGUCUGAGAGGAUGAUCAGCCACACUGGGACUGAGACACGGCCCAGACUCCUACGGGAGGCAGCAGUGGGGAAUUUUGGACAAUGGGCGCAAGCCUGAUCCAGCCAUGCCGCGUGCAGGAUGAAGGCCUUCGGGUUGUAAUCUGCUUUUGUACGGAACGAAAAGCCUUCUUUUAAUACAGGAGGGUCAUGACGGUACCGUAAGAAUAAGCACCGGCUAACUACGUG